CAGGCAUUCAUCAAAUGCAGAAAUACUCAAAUACUUUACAAGAAACUGAAAAUGUAUUCCAACUAAAAAAUUGUGUUGUAUAAUAUUUUUUAAAUGGCAAUAGAAACAAUGCAGAGAAUACGGGGGUUUUGCUGGUUUUGUUUUGUUUUGUUGUUUUUUGAAGAUAGGGCCUCUCUCUGUCACCCAGGCUGGAGUGUGGUGGUGCCAUCCUGGCUCACUGCAGCCUCGACUUUCUGGGCUCAAGCGAUCCUCCCACCUCUGCUUCCCCAGUAGCUUGGACUACAGGUGCAUACCACCACAACCUGGCUAAUUUUUGUACUUUUUAUAGAGAUGGGGUCUCACCAUGUUGCCCAGGCUGGUCUCGAACUCCUGGGCUCAAGAUAUCCUCCUGCCUCAGCCUCCCAAAACUGGGAUUACAAGCAUGAGCCAUGGCCCUCCGUAAACAAUGCAAAUAAUUUGAUAUGUUGGAGACUCUUGGAAAGCUUUAAUGAUAUGACAAGAAAUUUGCCUUUUUUUCCCCCAUGCCUUUCCUCUCAACCGUCCUCAUUUCAGAAAGCUUCCUAAAUUAUAUGAAGUGGUUUAAAGUUCCUGUCACUCUGCUAAGCAGGGCACAAUACAUCAUGGUGCCAGGCCCUGCCCAGCUUGUCCGUGGUGGGGCCUGUGUAUCCCCCAGCCCCCGGCGGGCGGCCUGUCACGCACACUAGCUGCUUCCUGAACACCUUGUGCCCCUUCCCCUGAGAGGCCCUUUAGGACACGGGUUCCUCUGGCAAGAAUGUCCUCUUCCUCCCCUCCUUUGUGCCAUUCAUUUCUUCUCCUGCCUCCAAGCUCCAUUAACAUCAUUCCUAUAAGUCGUGUUUCAAUUUCCAAAGUCUUGCUUUGUCGUCCAGGUUAGAGUGUAAUGGCACUAUCUCAGCUCACUGCAAUCUCUGCCUCCGAGGCUCAAGUGAUUAUCCUGCCUCAGUCUCCUGAGUAGGAGUAGCUGGGAUUAAAGGCGCCUACCACCAUGCCUGGCUAGUUUUUGUAUUUUUAGUAGAGACGGGGUUUCACCAUGUUGGUCAGGUGGGUUUUGAACUCCUGACCUCAAGUGAUCUGCCCGCCUCUGCCUCUCAAAGUGCUGGGAUUACAGAUGUCAGCCACCAUGCCCAGCCCCUCCAGUAUUUUCUUUUAUAACAAAGGCUCUCAUGCCCAUGCAGGAACAGGGAGUAAGAUAAGAAGUCAAGAGUUGGCACUCCAAUUUGUCUAAGCAAUUAUGCUGUUUCAGCUUACAACAAUUCCAAGAGAUAAUAAUGCUGGUCUCUAUUAAACAGCUAAGGAAUCCACAGCUUUGACCCUUAUGUCACACAACUCAGGAGUCUCCAGGGUCUCCCCCAGGCCUCUGUGCCUUGCAGCCACGUCCCCAUCACACAGGUGUACACCCUUCGCUGUGGACUCCAAAAGCCUGCUGUGCUCUGGUUACACAUUAAUGACCUGAGGCUGUGGCCUUCUGCUACCCUAGAAAGUGGGUUUUGAAAUUCUUCCAGCACAAUGAGUCCUUCACAUGCUAGACCAGUCCAGCUGACAGGUGCCCAGCCUGGAACAGCACGCAGCAGGCUUUUGCUUAUACGAGAGAGAAAAACAGACAACAGGGCUUUGUUAGAGUGAAUUCUAGUUGCCUAUCUCAGAUGUUGUAAUGUGGUUCAAGAAAGGACCUGAAGAAAAGACGCCGAGAUUGUCUUCUGUACUUCGAAAAAUGGUAUAAGCAGGGGAAGCUGGUGAGAGAGAAUUUGAAAAUAAAUAGCUGUAUGUAUAUUUACAUCUGUAUCUCUGUCUGUACCUUCAUCUCUAUUUUAUUUCUGUCUCUGUAUCUGUGUCUAUUAAAUAUCUGUGUCUCUAUCUCUGUCCCUAUCUGCACAUAUGACUCUAUUCUAUCACUGUAUCUACAGCUACCUGCAUAGCUCUGUCUAUAUCUAUAACUAUAUAUCUACAUAUCCAAAUCUAUCUGCCUGAUCUUCCCAAGAGAACCCUGGCGGCACACAAGGCUCUGUGGGUCACCCUGCACUGCCUUAUCUCAGAGUGUCCCAUUUGAGUUCUUAAGAUUCGUUAGACCUUGCCUUACCUGAGGCAAAUACUUAUAGGAAUUAUGGCAAAUUUUCCUGGGCGGAGCUUUCAUUAUUAGUUUUUGCAGAUUGUCUGUGUCCUGGGGGAAUGCUCACAUAUUUAUGGGGCUGUUGUUUUUCCAUUUUUCUAAUUAAAUUCAGCACAAAUUUUCCUCUGAUAGUCUCAUGUAAAACCUUAACCCAAUGCUUAAGUUUGGCCUUGGAGGUAGUAAUUCACCUAUCCACUGAUUCAAAGAUUCAACUAGUAUUUAUCUAACUCCUAGUGAGGUAGGAAGCAGAACUUGAAUCUGAAAGUAGGGCUUGGACUCCAGACCAGAUUGAAAGCUGCCAGAAACAGGGAAGAUGCAAAGGCACCUCUCCCCAAGACACCCCACCAGUGCCAUCUCAGUUUGCUGUUGCCAUGCAACACCUACAAAUUGCUGCCCCUUUCCGUGGCAACACUGAAAGUUCCCACCCUUUGUCUAGAAAUUGACGCAUAACCCGCCCCUUAAUUAGCAUAUAAUUAACAGUUUGAACUUUGUGAAAAGUAUUUCUGGGUCCAUUCUCUGCUCAAAAUAAAUAGUCUCAGAGUAUAUCAAUUGUUUUGAAAACAUGAAUCAAGAGCAAAUAAAACUUUUAAUGUAAAGCGUCAGAAAUCCUAAUGCCAUCCUGGGACCAUGCUUUCAAAUAUUGUCCUCUUCAAUGAAGUCACGUGAAAUAUGAGCAAAAACACAAAUAUGAGUGCGCGUAGCUCUGAGCACAGCACUGCCUCUGAGCUGCCACUCAGCACACGGCCUGUGGGGUCGCCCUGCUCUGCAAGGAGCAGGACCUCUGCUGCUGUCGUGCAUUGUCACUUCAAUAAAAGUUGUUAUCAACACCACUGGCUCACCUUUGAAUUCUUUCCUGGAUGAAGCCUAGAACCCUCCCAGGCUGAGCCCCAAUUUUGGGUUUGCUCGCCCUGCAACAAGAGCACAAAGCAGGGACUGUUUCAUGCACCUCAACUGGCUGCAGCUAUCCUGACAGCUCUGGGGCUCACUUUUCUCUCCAUCUGAUAAUUCCUCUAGGGAUGUACCUGCUGCUGGGUGACACCUCAGUGAUGUGUGCAGCACCUGUUACCUCUGGACUGGCUUUAUGGUGAUAUAAAAUCCUGUUCUGUGACAUGUGGCUGGUGUUAUUCACUUUGUAAUUCUUUGGGGAAGCUUUCCUUUGCUGACUUCCAUAACUCAAAUGGACAAAUAGGUGGAAAGGUGGUCAGAAGACUGUUGCUGAAGUGCUGAUUCUGUCACUAGAGUCUCCUAGAACCCCAUCUUUUUGUCUAUGAAGCUGACACCAUAAUCUUCCUCCUAAAUCUCCCCAAAAGGCCAACAUCAUGAUUGGAUUGGACGCCGGGUCCUGCUGCCCCAUGCUGAGGAGUGAGGCCUGUGUGGAGAAGUCACGUGUACAUCGAUUCGCAAUGCCAAGAAGUCUCGUCUCUGAGGCAGAACCUGCAUUCUCGGCAAGCCGUGUACAGACUUGCAGUGUUCACAGCAGGCAUGUGAAGCAAGCACACAGAAUGUUUGAAUAAAUAUCAGUGACUCCCCAUAAGGGACUGAAAGAAGUAUCCAGAUGGAAUGAUUGGGUUGGUUUUCCACACCACCUAUGCCCAGAGACCCACCUUCCCUUCUCCACCAUGGUGGAUAACAGCCCCAGGGGCCCCUCCCAGUGCCCAUGGCCCCCGUCCGCCCACCUGCCCUCUGCAGCCCCCUUCUGGGUCCUCUCCUGCACUGCCUUGUUGGGGGGUUUGAGGCCAAGAACAACUGAUCACUUGCCUUUGAAUUCUCACAGUGACAUAAGCUGAAUACAGAGUAGAAACUCCAUAAAGGUUUACUGGACAGAAAUAACAUAAAGUUUUAACUGGUGGGCUCAACAAACAAGGCACGUCCUUUGUCUUCUAUUAAAUCUUUCAAAUAUUUGAUGCUUUAUUAACAUUUCACAAUGAAAACGUUGACAAUAAAUCUUAUUUAUAACCAUUCCUAAGAAACCAGGCUAUAAAAAAAAUGAGCUUUUUCCCUCCUUGCAUUUCAAAUUUCAUGUGCCCAUAAUUUAAACCAAAUUCUAUUUCGACUGCCUGUUUCUUAAUCCUAAUAAUGUAAAUAUUUUCCUACGCAUAAUAAUUUUUGGAGUAUUCUGCCCGUCAUUUAAAAUUAUGCUACCCUUCCUAUUAGGCACAAACUAUCUUUCAAGACCUCCCUGGAAAUAAUGUUUUAAUAUACUACAAUUGAGUUUAAAUUGUCAAAUUCAAUUAUUAGAGCCAUUUCUUUACUAUUUGAGCAAGUUUUGACAACUGUAAACUUUGCGACCUAAACAUAAAACAUGACAACUGAUUAUAACAUGAUCUCAAAUGUACCCCCGUUCUCCGGUUUCAUUAAAAUAUUA
rnacentral:lncRNA from 10 species